GAUGAACGCUGGCGGCGUGCCUAAUACAUGCAAGUCGAGCGAACAGACGAGGAGCUUGCUCCUCUGACGUUAGCGGCGGACGGGUGAGUAACACGUGGAUAACCUACCUAUAAGACUGGGAUAACUUCGGGAAACCGGAGCUAAUACCGGAUAAUAUAUUGAACCGCAUGGUUCAAUAGUGAAAGACGGUUUUGCUGUCACUUAUAGAUGGAUCCGCGCCGCAUUAGCUAGUUGGUAAGGUAACGGCUUACCAAGGCGACGAUGCGUAGCCGACCUGAGAGGGUGAUCGGCCACACUGGAACUGAGACACGGUCCAGACUCCUACGGGAGGCAGCAGUAGGGAAUGUUCCGCAAUGGGCGAAAGCCUGACGGAGCAACGCCGCGUGAGUGAUGAAGGUCUUCGGAUCGUAAAACUCUGUUAUUAGGGAAGAACAAAUGUGUAAGUAACUAUGCACGGCUUGACGGUACCUAAUCAGAAAGCCACGGCUAACUACGUG
rnacentral:rRNA from 1 species